CCUACGGGACGCAGCAGUGGGGGAUAUUGCACAAUGGGGGGAACCCUGAUGCAGCGACGCCGCGUGGGUGAAGGAGCACCUCGGUGCGUAAAGCUCUAUCAGCAGGGAAGAAAAUGACGGUACCUGACUAAGAAGCCCCGGCUAACUACGUGCCAGCAGCCGCGGUAAUACGUAGGGGGCAAGCGUUAUCCGGAUUUACUGGGUGUAAAGGGAGCGUAGACGGCAUGGCAAGUCAGAUGUGAAAGCCCGGGGCUCAACCCCGGGACUGCAUUUGAAACUGUCAGGCUG
rnacentral:rRNA from 1 species